UACGAAGGGGGCUAGCGUUGCUCGGAAUCACUGGGCGUAAAGCGCACGUAGGCGGAUUCCUAAGUCGGUGGUGAAAUCCUGGAGCUCAACUCCAGAACUGCCUUUGAUACUGGAAAGCUUGAGUUCGGGAGAGGUGAGUGGAACUGCGAGUGUAGAGGUGAAAUUCGUAGAUAUUCGCAAGAACACCAGUGGCGAAGGCGGCUCACUGGCCCGAUACUGACGCUGAGGCACGAAAGCGUGGGGAGCAAACAGG
rnacentral:rRNA from 1 species